AGGCCUAACACAUGCAAGUCGAGCGGAUGAGGGGAGCUUGCUCUCUGAUUCAGCGGCGGACGGGUGAGUAAUGCCUAGGAAUCUGCCCAGUAGUGGGGGACAACGUUUCGAAAGGAACGCUAAUACCGCAUACGUCCUACGGGAGAAAGUGGGGGAUCUUCGGACCUCACGCUAUUGGAUGAGCCUAGGUCGGAUUAGCUAGUUGGUAGGGUAACGGCCUACCAAGGCGACGAUCCGUAACUGGUCUGAGAGGAUGAUCAGUCACACUGGAACUGAGACACGGUCCAG
rnacentral:rRNA from 1 species